rnacentral:lncRNA from 1 species
CUCUAAUAUAACUGAACUGUGUGUUGAUGAUUUUGAGCUAGAGUCUAUUGGAGACAGCUCCUCACAUGAAGUUAAACCUCAUAUCUUUACUGGAGAUUUAGUUCCUCUGUUAUUCUUUGGUAGGAAUGAAUGAAUGAAUGAAUGAAUGAAUGAAUGAAUGAAUGAAUGAAUGAAUGAAUGAAUGAAUAAAUAAAUAUAUGAAUAAAUAAAUAAUGUAGCUGAAUCUUUUUAUAAACUCUCAAGCUUAAAGACACAAGCUAAAACAUGACAUGGGUUUUCUGUUAAUCCACCACAUGAUUUAUUUACUGUAAACAUAUCUAAAUCAUGGGAAAUGAUUUCCAGAGGUCUGAACAUGAAUUUUCUAGACAAACUGAAAAACCUUCUUCUAAAGACCUGUGGAUUGAUAUCAUGAAAAGUUGUUUUUUUUGUUUUUUUUUCUCUAAUAUAGAUCUGUGAAUCCACAUGAUCACAUGGCCUUCUCUGCAGUCCAGUCCAUGAACCACUGAACAAAUAUACAUCAAUCAAGACAUGCAUUUAGUGCUUCAAAAGGCUGUGAAAAGAACAUUUAUUUCCCUUCUGGUUUAGUAGAUUUGAUAUGAAACAGAACAUCAUUUAUGGAUCAUAUGCAAAGUGUCUGUGACUUCAGGUGGCAUUUGGGAUACUAUAAGUGAAACAUCCUGUAAGACACAAGUGUACUGGUAGAUGAAUGUGUAUUUAAGUAUGUACCCAACUCUAAAUUAAAUAGAAGAGUCUGGAUUGUUCUUACAGUGUUAUGGAGCAGAAAAAAACAUCAGUUCUACCAUGUGGAGCUUCCUAAACACGUGGUGAUACUAAGGAUGGGUCCUGAUUUCUGUGAUGCCAUCUGCUGCACCAAUGCUAAAGCCCCAUCAGCCAACAAAAUAGGAGACCACCUUUUUUAUUGGUUCAGGUUUGAUCCUUUGGGUAGAAGAAUUUGUGUAGUUUGGAUGCACUGACAUAAUGUAAGGGCUUCCUCAUAGAUGUGGUGAGUAUCCCCUCCCUGGAAACACUCAGGCUCAGUCUGGACACAGUUCUGAGCAACCUGAUGGAACUAUAGGUAUCCCUGUUCUUUACAUGGAUGUUGGGUCCAACAGAUGAUCCUUAAGGGAGUCCUCCAACUCAAAUGAUUCUAUGAUUCUAUGAUUAUCUUGACCAUAUUAACACAGCAGAUAGAACAGACAAAAGGCUUUAAUUAAUUUACUGUUAUUAUUAUUGUUAUUACUGAAGUUAUUGUUAUUAUUGUUAUUGCUAUUAUUGGCACUACUGAUAUUCAGAUCCUGCCCAUGCAAUAACAAGUAAUAUGUACAUGCUGUCUCCCUAAGCAGAACAUC